rnacentral:rRNA from 1 species
UACAGAGGGGGCAAGCGUUAUUCGGAAUUAUUGGGCGUAAAGGGCGCGUAGGCGGCAAUUCAAGUCAUCUGUGAAAUCUCCGGGCUUAACUCGGAACGGUCAGAUGAUACUGCUUUGCUAGAGUGCGGAAGGGGCAAUCGGAAUUCUCGGUGUAGCGGUGAAAUGCGUAGAUAUCGAGAGGAACACCUAUGGCGAAGGCAGCUCGCUGGGACGUUACUGACGCUGAGACGCGAAAGCGUGGGGAGCAAACAGG